AGAGAACUUUAUAAUGGCAUUAUCGUGCUGAUGCACACAAUUUAGGAAACAAAAACAUUAAAGAAGAAAGAGAGUAUAAUUAAUUCCACUAAUUAGGCCUAAGCAGACGAUUUUAUCUUUAUUAUCACAUGAUAUUUUUAUUUAACUAUCAUGAUUGGACAAGUACAUGGAUACAAACAAAGAUAAUCUCUGGUACAAGAGAUCUUUGUAAUAGAACUAAACCAAAUGGAUAAUAUUUAUCCAUUUAUUUAAUCAAAUAAAACAUAAAAGAGUAAUACUAUAUUCAUUACUUAACCAGUAUAAUUAGGAUUUCUCCCAUUUUGUGGGACAACAAUAAGUUCAAGAUUUUCAGUUGCAAUCUCACUAUCAACAAUACUAGAACCUGGCGGAUAAGGGACAAGAAUCUCUAACCACGCAUUACCUGAAAAAUUUAUUGAGAUUAGAAUAUUGAAUCUUACUAUAAAAAUUACUUCACAAAUACACAUGUUAAAUAAGAAAUAUAUAUGAUAUUCAACUGAAGUUGUUCUAAAAUUAAACCUGCGCAACGAGGAGUUUCCAUAUUCUUCAAAUCAGAAAAGAUCUCUGCUACUGCUAUCUUCAGGAGUAUUCAAUUGUGAGUAUAUUUGCUUGAGCAAGUUCUUGCUUCUGGUUUGGUGCGAUAUUUAUAGAAGCUUCAAGUAGCCGACGCCCAACGGUGCCAACACAGGUGAUUGUGACGUAGGAAAACAAAUCAUAAUGCGUGGUACAGGUAACAGAUGGGCAAGACUAACGGGAUCAACGGCUAAACUUUUUUCGUACACAAAUUGUCGAUUAAUAGAGGACUCUGGUUAAAUGAUUGCAAUAUGUGCUAAACAUA
rnacentral:lncRNA from 1 species